CCCUUAGAUGUUCUGGGCCGCACGCGCGCUACACUGAUGCAUUCAACGAGUUUCUUCCUGGUCCGAGAGGAAUGGGUAACCUUUUGAAAGUGCAUCGUGAUAGGGAUAGACUAUUGCAAUUAUUGGUCUUCAACGAGGAAUUCCUAGUAGACGUAGUUCAUCAGACUGCAUCGAUUACGUCCCUGCCCUUUGUACACACCGCCCGUCGCUCCUACCGAUUGAGUGCUCAGGUGAAUAAUUCGGACUGCAGCAAUGUUUGGAUCCCGAACGUUGCAGCGGAAAGUUUAGUGAACCUUAUCACUUAGAGGAAGGAGAAGUCGUAACA
rnacentral:rRNA from 1 species